UGCGUAGGCGGGUUUCUAAGUCAGAGGUGAAAGCCUGGAGCUCAACUCCAGAACUGCCUUUGAUACUGGAAGUCUUGAGUAUGGCAGAGGUAAGUGGAACUGCGAGUGUAGAGGUGAAAUUCGUAGAUAUUCGCAAGAACACCAGUGGCGAAGGCGGCUCACUGGGCCAUUACUGACGCUGAGGCACGAAAGCUGGGGGAGCAAACA
rnacentral:rRNA from 1 species